rnacentral:rRNA from 1 species
AGCGAACGCUGGCGGCAGGCCUAACACAUGCAAGUCGAACGGAUCCUUCGGGAUUAGUAGCGGACGGGUGAGUAACACGUGGGAACGUGCCCUUUGGUUCGGAACAACUCAGGGAAACUUGAGCUAAUACCGGAUGUGCCCUUCGGGGGAAAGAUUUAUCGCCAUUGGAGCGGCCCGCGUCUGAUUAGCUAGUUGGCGAGGUAACGGCCCACCAAGGCGACGAUCAGUAGCUGGUCUGAGAGGAUGAUCAGCCACACUGGGACUGAGACACGGCCCAGACUCCUACGGGAGGCAGCAGUGGGGAAUCUUGCGCAAUGGGCGAAAGCCUGACGCAGCCAUGCCGCGUGAAUGAUGAAGGUCUUAGGAUUGUAAAAUUCUUUCAGCGGGGACGAUAAUGACGGUACCCGCAGAAGAAGCUCCGGCUAACUUCGUG